rnacentral:lncRNA from 1 species
UGAUAAUUUAGGGUGAAUAAUACAAAACGUUUUAACUCAGGCUACGGUUGUGAGCCUACUUCUCACCUCUAUCAAGUGAAGCCAAGCGAGGUAUGAAGAGUGCCUAACAGUUUACCAACUGUCAUAUAUAUCAUACCUCAUCUAAUACAACUCUCCGAAAAGAAAGCAUUGUAAAUAUCCCCACUUGAGAAAUGAUGAAAGGAAAAUUCAGAGAAGUCACAAAAUUUUCCCAGAGUUUACCAGGUAAUCGGAAGAGGCUGGUUUCUAAUCUAGAUCUCCUGACUCCAAGUGCCCUAAACCAUGGGCACUGACUGAAGAUUUCAUCUCCCUCCCUCUUCCAUCCUUUGCUUACAUUUAAAGUGCCUAUGAGCAAUAGAAAGGUUUUUUGAGGGUUGGGUUUUCAGAGAAUUUAUAGAUUUCAAUUCUUCCUGUUCUUUCUGCUCCCAAAUUAUCAUAGAUUACAUAAAGUUGGCUUCAUAUUAUCUCUUGGGUCUUUAGAUGAAAAAAUAAAUUUUAGAAAUAUAAUAAAAAAAAAAUGGGCUUAAUGUACACUUGGGUGGGGGCAGGGGAGGAUGGGGCCAAUGGUUUUUAUGUCUCUCUGCUCUAGAAUCAAAUCCAGAUUUGGCUCUAGGGCCAAAUCUCCAGUAGAAAAGUCAAUCCUGUCUUCCAAUCAAACAAAUGAAGUCAUCUGUGCUAAUAUUUAUACAAGGGAUACAAAGAGACUACACAGUAUCACUUUGUAGAUGCUGGGAAAAGACACCACCUGUUCAUUCAAAGCCGAAGACUUCAGUUCCACCUAGAUGUUGGGGAAAUUAACAUAAACUUUUUUGAAAGAAGGGUUAGUCAUUCAAAAUAGUAACAUGCUUUCUCCUCCCUCCAAAAAACAAUCUUCAGAUAAUUAGGAUUUGAGAAGAAAGGGGUCGGUUCUCUACAUCAUGUGGCACUGUGAAGAUAUGAUAAUUAACAUCCACUGUUAAGAGUUACAAAGCAAUCCCUUUCCUAUGUUAUUCAGAAGACUUGGCUCCUUAUUCCCGAAUUAAAAUGAGGACGAAAAGACCUAACUUCCACCUUGUCUCAACAUCAGUGGGCUGCUUUCCCCACAGCCAACCACCUUUCCUAAACUCCCGACUUUUCAACCGCUAAGACCAUGGAAACAUUAAGAAUGACCCUCCUUCAUCAAACCUCAACUUCCCCUCCCACUUGCACUUCUGACCAAUGUACUCACUUCAAAGCAAGCAACAGCAUCCUGUUCAGUUACUCAGUAGGGCCUCUGUAUCUUCACCUAACACCUUCAACCCAAAGAAAACCAAAAGCCACAAAAGACCUCCAUCAUCUCCACACAGCUCCUAGUCCGGCGAUGGCACUUAUGUAACCUCUGGUUUUUGCUCUUAUUGUUUAUUUUGUCAGUUGCCAUGGGAAAGACUGGACAACUCCAUCUGCAAGGGGUAAUUACUGGCCUUCCAAACACACACACACUCACGCAGCAGAGAAGAAGUAUGUGCAGUUAAAGACUUCUUCAAGGAGACCAAGCAAAGGUUAACCAAUGUAUUACUUUGCUGCUGGCAUGCACACAGAAAGGCAGCUGUUCGUUACCAACUAUACUCCAUAUUUUCAGCUCAAGUAUUCAUAAUCGAAAUUAGUAUCUCCUCACAAGUUAAUAUUUCUCAGGCACUACAGACUAAGUGGAUCAUCUUUGCACAAAGAAGAACCAUAAAUAGAAAUUCACAAGUCUGACUUUACCGAAUGUCAAUGAGGUUAAGAGAGGCUGAGCAACUCUCAUAGGACUGAUUAAUAGUGGAGUCAAGAGUCCAGCCCAGAGCCCACAGUCUUGCUGCACUGACCAUUGCUCACGGUGCCUGACCACAGCCUGGGUCACAAGCACCGCUGGCUUCUGGUCUGAUCUCCUGACAGGCUGAAGGGACUCCAACUCUCACCCAACCCAUCCAGUCAAAGUGAGAAAAAUACAAAGCUCCUUUGGUACCAAAGUGCCUAUGAUCACAGGCCACAAUAGUAACAGUGAUCCUCUCUUUUGAUUCCAGCACAAAAUAAAUAUGCAUGUGUGACUGACAUUCAAACGAUGUGGCCUUUUCCACUUUCUUCACCAGUUUCCAUUUCCUGCAGUUAACUCCUUAACACUCUUUGCAUGUCUUGCCAAAACCAUGGCUACCUGCUGAUGUACAAGAUAAAGUCAACUCUGAGUUUUAGGAGAUUUAAGAAUGUGGACUAGUAAGAAGAGCAGUAGUUCUGCUGCCAUCUACUUUGGUUUUUUUUUUUUUCCCCUGGGAGAAGAAAUAUUUAUCCCUUGGCCUCUUCUUUAAUGUAGGUAAAUCAUUUAGACUGUUGUGAUUCUUUUUUAAGUAGUUAAUUUACAAUGUUCUGUGAAUGUCUGCUGUGCAAAGUGACCCAGUUACACACAUAAACACAUUCUUUUUCUCACGUUAUCCUCCAUCAUGUUCCAUCACAAGGGAUUAGACGGAGUUCCCUGUGCUAUACAGCAGGAUCUCAUUGCUUAUCCACUCCAAAUGCCACAGUGAUUUUUAAUCUUUACCCUUUGGAUUGGAUUCCUAAGGAUGAAACAUUUGUAGAAUUCCCGAAGAAAACUCUCGUGGUAGUGCAAAGUUUAAAAUACAAUUAAAAGAGAUCAGGUGCUGUCAGAAGCAGUCUUGCAGACGAGGCUGGCCAUGUUAAUUGCUGCAUCUUUUAAUAUGUCAACAAACAUGGGUGGAGUCUCCAGAAGGGCCAGGCUCAUCCCUACCUCCCCUCACAGUCCAGUCUACCCUCCUGGACUCCACCGACCAGUGGGGGCAUCGGCCAGUGUAGACUGCCCCCUUCUCCAUCAGCACGGCACUCCCGGCUGUCACAUGCCCUUUCCAUUAACAGCCAGAGUUCUUGGGCUGCUUCCCAGAGGUGAGCAGGGAAAGGACAUCAAAACAUUUUUGUCUUUGCCCUCUCCUAGCACCACACUCUUACCCUUGCCCUAGAUGCUGCGGCCCACAGGAGUGAACGAGGAGGGCCUGGCCGGGGGGUGAGCCAUUCUACCUGCGGGAAUGAAGGCAGGCCCCAGAGCAGGGAGGCCGUGGAGCAGAAACCCCAGCUCACAGACCCAAGGCCAGAGCAGAGGCUGUAAUUAAACAUAAACUUGCCAGCAGCUCUCUCUUAACACAUGAAGCCAAAAGUUAAAACGUCUAAUGGUCUGGGGCCCAUGCCAAGCCCCAGCCCAGGGCCCUCCCCACAGAGACUAAUGCAAAGGAGUGAGGUGUGGCAGGGGCCAGACAACCAGGUGGCUGCAGGGAGCCCCUCUUCCAGGCUUCUGUGACGUGCUAACCACCAUCAGUGGUGCUUUGUUGAUGUAUCUGGCCCACCAGGAACAGUGUGGAGCCGACAGCCUUUGCUGGACUUCAUGUCUUUGGCUAAACAUGUGAGGUCCGUACUGCCGAACAAAGUGGCCACUAGACACACGUGGCUCACGGGCACUUGAAAUGUGGCCAAUCCCAGCCGAGAAGUGCUGAGCACUUCAAAGGCACAGAGGAUUACAUGAGCAUGAAAGUAGAUUACAUGAAAGUGGACUAUCUCAAUUUUUUUUAAUCUCCAUUACCUAUUAAAAUCAUAAGAGGUUGGCUACAUUGGUUAAGUAAACUGUAUGGUUAAAGUUCAUUUCACUUGGUUUUCUGUUUCCUAACAUGGCCUCUAGAACAUUUCAAAUCACACUUUACAUGUACAUAUAUACAAACACACGUGCGUCGUAUUUCACUUGGACGGCAUGGCUCUGGGUACGCCAUUAAUGCUGCUGAAGGAAUGAAUGCUGACUGAAGAGACAGCAUUCAAUAGUCCAUAGAAAUGGUUAAAAAAGGAGCAAGCCAUCACUCUUCUCUGAAGUAACGUUUGUAGCUGGAGCUACAUUUCAUUCUGAGUCACUUGCUAUGAGAAAAUGCUUACUAAUCACUCAGGACUCCAAAAGAAUGAGAGGGCGACAGACUGUCGGCCAGGCCACACCACCAAGGCCAAACAACCUUCGGUCCUAUGGUGGAGACUCCACAGAGCACAGGACCAAGCACACACACACACUGCAAGAAACUGCCAAAUGGAAAGAAAACAACCCAUCUGAGAACCCCACAGUUUUCCAAACUUCUCUUCACUCUAAACCUAACUCUGUUCUCAGCCCAACCCUUUGCUGUUCAAAUAUUCUUUAAGACUGUUUUAAGACAAUUCACUGCAAAUUAAAAGCACUAUGAGGUAUCAGCUCACACACACAUCAGGAUAGCUACUAUAAAAAACAAGAAUAAUAAGAUAAAAAGUAUUGGUGAGGCUGUUGAGGCAUUAGAACCUUUGUGCACUGUGGGUAGAAAUGUAAAAUGGUGCAGCUGCUUUGGAAAAAAAGUAUGGAGGUGCCUCAAAACAUGAAAACUAAAACUGCUAUAUGAUCCAGCAAUUCCAUUUCCAGGUAUGCAUCCAAAGGCACUGAAAGCAGGAUCUCUAGCAGAUCCUUGCAUGCCCAUUGGUCAUGGCACCAUUAAUUACAACAUCUAAGAGGUGGAGGAAACCCACGUGUCCAUCAACAGAUGAAUGGAUAAACAAAACGGGGUGUGUACC